ensembl:lncRNA
GGAACGAAAAAUGGACACGUCGAGAUUAAAGUCGACAUGACAUUUAAACUUUAUCCUCGACAUUUCGAGUUUAAUGUCGACAUGUUGACUUUAAAGUCGACGUGUCGAUUUUAAUCUCGUCACGGCGAAAAAAAACAAAAUCUUCACGUGUGGCCCUAAUACUCCGUCGUAGUAACUACAUUGUAAAAAGUAUCAAUAAUAUAUUUUUGUGUGCACUAUUGCACCUGCAUUAUUUCUUAUGCUCGAUGUCUUCUUCUCAAAAUGUUACAGACAGGUGAAGUUAAGCUAGCAGUUUGAAUCACUUACCUGGAAAAUGCGGGCGAUCCUGUCGACACGCAUAUCGUCCAUUUUAAGAGUAAUUCUCUUGUUCCCUCUGAACAGCACAAACGUCUCCAUUUUAUCCGACGAUUAGGCUUAUUCUGUUUGUUAAGUUAUUAGUUAGUUUUAUUCAAUCAAUCCUGCACGGCCGGGAUAUCUGAAGGGGAAGAGGACGGUGGAGGUCGCUCAAAGCGCAAACUUUUUGGCGGAUUGCUUCUGCGCAUGACAGAAUGUGAAAAAACCCGCCAAAGCAAAAGAAGAAGAAGACGGUAGGCGGUUAGAUGAAAUGGAGUCCAGUUUGUCACCCUACCGAGAAAUAAUUGAAAGUAUGCUCCGAAACGGCCAUUCUGAUGAAGAAAUUUCCAGUCAUCUCCACCUGGAAUGUGGAUUGACUUUUUUUUUUUUGCUUUGGAAAGGCUUUUCCAAAGCAAACAUUCGUACAUUUUCCGCACAAAACGGUAUAGGAAGAGAACGAUUGCAGGACUCCAAACUGGAGAGCGAGAUUGCUCAAGCAAUUAAUGAGGUAAGCAACAGCAUUUUGAUGAAUUUGUAUGAUUGCUAACCGCAGUGUACUUGCAGGUAGUGACCAGUGGCGUUUGUAGCCUACAAAAUGCACCAGUGGCGUUUGUAGCCUACAAAAUGCACACCAUUUUGUAGCCAAAAUGGUGUGCACCAACAAUUAGGAAAAACAACAGUGCUUUCUCUUGUAACCGAUGUGUUCCUCACAGAUCCAUGCACUGUAGCAAUCACACAAGCCUAAAUGAAGAAUGCAUUAUUCCACGUCAUAAGCUGACAAAACUUGCAAUAACCUUUGUAUAGAAUCUGUCCAAAAUAAGAUGGUGUGUGUAAUAAUUGGUUUGUAAUAGGAAUACAAAAAAGGAUUGCAUAUUCGUCUUCAAUUUCAGACUGGACCAUCAUAUGGAAGAAGAAUGAUGACGGGCUACCUGUCCUCCAAAGGUAUCAGAGCAUCUGAGGGGCGCGUUGGUAGUGUCCUCAGACAUAUUAACAGGCCAUAUCAUGCAGAUCGUCAUCAGAGAUCAAGGAACUUAAAUCCAGUGCCAUACAGUGCCGAGUGCAUGGGUCACAAACUGCACUUAGAUGGUGAUGUUCGGGGUGACCCAUGUCCUUGCUGUUGACGGUUUCUCCAGUAAAAUUGUCAGCCAUUCCACUAUGCCUGUCAAAAACAACCUGACAAUAUAUCAAGAGGUGUACAGAAGUGCUGUCCUACAGCACAGAAUGUGGGACCAAAUACGAGUGGACCACGGAAGAGAGUUUUUCUUGACUCUUUUCAUGCAGGAGAAAUUGGCAGGCUACAGAAAUAACACAGCAAGGGAGCCGUACCUGCAAACAUCGUCAACACAUGGCUCUCAUCCACCUUGUAGACCAGGAGGAACUCAACAUGGAGGACAACUUGACACGGUAUUGUGUGUCCACGCUUACCUGUCAGGUGGCUCAGAUUGGACUUGACCGGAUGGUGCAGUCCUGGAAUGCACACAGGAUCCAAGGCAAGGGCAUCCCAGAUCAACUGACUCUGGGUGGAUGCCCAAAGAAAGCGCCAGCAGAUUGUCUGCCAGAGGCUGCAGGAGCUGCACACACUUACCUGCAGGAAGUGGGGUCCUCUUUGACACAAGUGUCAAUGUUUGGGAGAAAUCCAUUCUCCACAGCUGAAAACCAGACAGUAGCUGAACAUGAAUUUGCACAGCAGUACAGCGACGUUUCGGAAUUCUAUAACCACACCGUCAACUAUGAACCAACCCAUUUCCAAAAUGGAAUUAGGGAUCUUAUUGACAUUGUGAGAAGACAUGUGUAGCCUGAUCUGUCGGAUCGCAGAAGCUAUGCAGGGUCUGGCCUGGAGCUUCCUGUAUGUUAGUUGAGAAGUUUUUUUUUGAUGUUCUAAUGUUGCGUUGUUAAUGUGUUAGACGGCUUAGAUGUUCUUAGAUGUUUUGUUAACCUGAUUCGUCUCUCACUCUGUUCAAAUAAAAGU